rnacentral:rRNA from 1 species
UACGUAGGGACCAAGCGUUGUUCGGAUUUACUGGGCGUAAAGGGCGCGUAGGCGGCUUGACAAGUCACUUGUGAAAUCUCCGGGCUUAACUCGGAACGGCCAAGUGAAACUGUCAUGCUAGAGUGCAGAAGGGGCAAUCGGAAUUCUCGGUGUAGCGGUGAAAUGCGUAGAUAUCGAGAGGAACACCUGCGGCGAAGGCGGGUUGCUGGGCCGACACUGACGCUGAUGCGCGAAAGCCAGGGGAGCGAACGGG